UACGAGGGGGGCGAGCGUUGUUCGGAAUUAUUGGGCGUAAAGGGUGCGUAGGCGGUUUGGUAAGUCUUAUGUGAAAUCUACAGGCUCAACUUGUAGUCUGCAUGAGAAACUGCCGGGCUUGAGUAUGGGAGAGGUGAGUGGAAUUCCUGGUGUAGCGGUGAAAUGCGUAGAUAUCAGGAGGAACACCAGUGGCGAAGGCGGCUCACUGGUCCGGUACUGACGCUGAGGUGCGAAAGCGUGGGUAGCAAACAGG
rnacentral:rRNA from 1 species